rnacentral:rRNA from 1 species
ACUGGUAAAAUGUGUAGUACCUAAUAAUAUUAGCUAAUAAUAUGAUAUUAACUAAGUUAAUUAAAAUUCUGAGUAGAUAUGUGAUUAUGACAAUAUCUGCUAAAGUCUUGACCAAGUCACGUGCCAGCAGUCGCGGUAAUACGUGGAAGACGAGUGUUAUUCAUCUUUAUUAGGUUUAAAGGGUACCUAGACGGUUAAUUAAGCAAUUAUUUUGUACUUAUUAACUAGAGUUUAAUGUAAGAAGGAUCGAGUACGGUGAGUGUAGAGAUAAAAUUUUGUGAUACCAUCUUGGAACUGGUAAAAGCGAAGGCAACCUUCUAUGUAAAAACUGACGUUAAGGGACGAAGGCUUAUAUGAAAGAAUAGGAUUAGAGACCCUAGUAUUGUAAGCAGAAAAUGAUGAGUGUCAUAUACAAGAACUAUGUUUUGUGUAUAAAUGAAAGUGUAAGCACUCCACCUCAAGAGUAACAUGGCAACAUGGGAACUGAAAUCAUUAGACCGUUUCUGAAACUCGUAGUGAAGUAUGUUGUUUAAUUUGACAAUCCACAAAAAACCUUACCACAAUUUGUAUAACUAUAGUAUUAUUUAAUAUAGUUACAAGCGUUGCACGGCUGUCUUCAGUCAAUGUUGUGAAACUAUGGUUAGAUCCAUUAAAUUGACGUAAACCCUUACUUUAUUUAUUAUAGAGUAGUUCGCCGCUAUA